rfam:Triticum aestivum genome assembly, contig: Triticum_aestivum_CS42_TGACv1_scaffold_515648_6BS
AUAAUACUCCCUCCGUCCGGAAUUACUUGUCAUCAAAAUGGAUGUGUCUAGAACUAAAAUACAUCUAGAUACAUCCAUUUCAAUGACAAGUAUUUUCGGACAGAGGGAGUAGUAG